rnacentral:rRNA from 1 species
CGUAAGUUAAGAUACUAAGAGCAUACGGUGGAUGCCUUGGCGAUAUCUGCCGACGAAGGACGUGACAAGCUGCGAAAAGCUG